GAUUUGAAUUCGGGAAGACGAGUCUUCCUGACUCCAGGCCUGGGGCUCUACCCACUGUGCCACCUUGCUGCUCCCUAGACCUAAUAAGAGGCCCUUAUUAAUAAUACAAGCCUCCCUCUUCUCUGAGACACGACAAUAUUGAAAUUAGGCCAAUUAAUGAACCGACAAUGGCCUCUAAGUGUUCAAGUGCAAGGGAGAGUCAAUUGCUGAUCAGUCAAACUCCAUUGCCAUCUUAUUUUAAGAAAUUAUCAAGGCCACUUCAGCCUUCAGCAACCACCACGCUGAUCAGCCAGCAGCCAUCAACAUCAAGGCAAGACCCUCCACCAGCAAAAAGAUUGGGAGUCACUGAAGGCUGAGAUGAUAGCAUUUUUUAAAGUAAUAAAGUAUUUUUUAAUUAAAGCA